CAUGCUCGCCUCCCAGUUCGCUCGUCGCCUUCUCUGUUUUCCUGCUCAACGGGCUUGCUUCUCCACCUCCCC
rnacentral:ribozyme from 1 species